rnacentral:rRNA from 1 species
GACGAACGCUGGCGGCGUGCCUAAUACAUGCAAGUCGAACGAGUGGCGGACGGGUGAGUAAUGCUUGGGAAUCUGGCUUAUGGAGGGGGAUAACGACGGGAAACUGUCGCUAAUACCGCGUACCAUAGGAUGAGCCCAAGUGGGAUUAGGUAGUUGGUGAGGUAAAGGCUCACCAAGCCGACGAUCUCUAGCUGGUCUGAGAGGAUGACCAGCCACACUGGGACUGAGACACGGCCCAGACUCCUACGGGAGGCAGCAGUGGGGAAUAUUGCGCAAUGGGGGCAACCUGACGCAGCCAUGCCGCGUGAAUGAAGAAGGCCUUCGGGUUGUAAAGUUCUUUCGGUAGCGAGGCGUUAACUACAGAAGAAGCACCGGCUAACUCCGUGCCAGCAGCCGCGGUAAUAC